rnacentral:lncRNA from 1 species
CAGAGCUGGCUUUGGAGCAGUCUACGCUUUGGGAACAACGUAGCUCCAAUGGUCAGAUUCCACUGAAGUAGCCCUAUUUCUGUCUCCUAAAGUGACUUCACUGAUCUCAGAUAUGGGAGUCAACAGUUCUCCUGAAGAUCUCCAUUACCAGUCUGGCCUGUGGAAGGGAGGAGUUGUUCUCUUCAGUGUCCUUACUUUUCAGAGCUCCCUGCUUAAUUCAGGAUCUGUUUGUUGCCCAGGUGGAGUCAGUUCUUGAGCAGAAUGAGUUCAUCUCUCCUGCUCUCUAGUCCGCGUUCUGAAGAAGAGAAACCCAUUGCUGUCUUGUGGG